ACACUGACGUCGCGAUGCAUAUCAAUAAGCGGAGGAAAAGAAACUAACAAGGAUUCCCUUAGUAACGGCGAGUGAAGCGGGAAGAGCUCAAAUUUGAAAUCUUCAAGGUUCUACCUUGACGAAUUGUAGUUUAAAGAAGUGUUUUCUGUUAGUGGAGUUGGCUAAAAGUUCUUUGGAAUAGGACAUCAUAGAGGGUGAGAAUCCCGUAUUUGAUCAUUCCUUCUAGCUUUGUGAUACACUUUCAAAGAGUCGGAUUGUUUGGGAAUGCAGUCCAAAAUGGGUGGUAAAUUUCAUCUAAAGCUAAAUAUUGGCGAGAGACCGAUAGCGAACAAGUACCAGUGAGGGAAAGAUGAAAAGAACUUUGAAAAGAGAGUUAAACAGUACGUGAAAUUGUCAAAAGGGAAGCGUUUGACACCAGUGUUGUUUUUCCGAAAAUCAAUUAUAAAUGUUUUGUUUCUGAGGAGUGAUGACUUCAUCGGCUUCCUUCUCUCUUCACGAAACUUUUGUAAUGCACUUUUCGGUUAACAAGUCCAACAUCAAUUUCUUUUGUUGUAAAAGAGUAUUCGGAAGGUGGCUUUCUUUUCGGAGAAAGUGUUUAUAGCCCUAUACUUCUACAAUCGGAGAGAUUGAGGUCUGCAGCGUAGAUCCUUCGGGGUUAGAUACACUUGUGCUAAGUUAUAGCUUUUCAUAGACAACUUGUUGACUAUGUUUAGUCUUGUAGCUUACUCGCUUGUGCUAUUUUACCUACGCUUAGGAUGUUGAGUCGUAGAGCACGCAG
rnacentral:rRNA from 1 species